UACAGAGAGUGCGAGCGUUAAUCGGAAUUACUGGACGUAAAGCGCACGUAGGUGGCGACGUAAGUCGGGUGUGAAAGCCCCGGGCUCAACCUGGGAAUUGCAUUCGAGACUGCAUUGCUGGAGUACGGAAGAGGAGGGCGGAAUUCCCGGUGUAGCGGUGAAAUGCGUAGAUAUCGGGAGGAACAUCAGUGGCGAAGGCGGCCCUCUGGUCCAGUACUGACACUCAAGUGCGAAAGCGUGGGGAGCAAACAGG
rnacentral:rRNA from 1 species